UGGGGAAUAUUGCACAAUGGGCGCAAGCUUGAUGCAGCCAUGCCGCGUGUGUGAAGAAGGCCUUCGGGUUGUAAAGCACUUUCAGCGGGGAGGAAGGCGUUAAGGUUAAUAACCUUGGCGAUUGACGUUACCCGCAGAAGAAGCACCGGCUAACUCCGUGCCAGCAGCCGCGGUAAUACGGUGGGUGCAAGCGUUAAUCGGAAUUACUUGGCGUAAAGCGCACGCAGGCGGUCUGUCAAGUCGGAUGUGAAAUCCCCGGGCUCAACCUGGGAACUGCAUUCGAAACUGGCAGGCUAGAGUCUUGUAGAGGGGGGUAGAAUUCCAGGUGGAGCGGUGAAAUGCGUAGAGAUCUGGAGGAAUAACGGUGGCGAAGGCGGCCCCCUGGACAAAGAAUGACGCUCAGGUGCGAAAGCGUGGGGAGCAAACAGG
rnacentral:rRNA from 1 species